ACGGCUCAGUAACACGUGGAUAACCUGCCCUUAGGUUUGGCAUAACUCCGGGAAACUGGAGAUAAUUCCGAAUAGGUCAAAUAUGCUGGAAUGCUUUUUGGCCAAAAGACCUCGGUUGCCUAAGGAUGGAUCUGCGGUCUAUCAGGUAGUAGUGGGUGUAACGUACCUACUAGCCUACGACGGAUAUGGGUUGUGAGAGCAAGAGCCCAGAGAUGGAUUCUGAGACAUGAAUCCAGGCCCUACGGGGCGCAGCAGGCGCGAAAACUUUACAAUGCGGGAAACCGCGAUAAGGGGACACCGAGUGCCAGCAUUUAUGUUGGCUGUCCACAUGUGUAAACGGCAUGUGUUAGCAAGGGCCGGGCAAGACCGGUGCCAGCCGCCGCGGUAACACCGGCGGCCCGAGUGGUAAUCACUUUUAUUGGGUCUAAAGGGUCCGUAGCCGGUUUGAUCAGUUCUUCGGGAAAUCUGACAGCUCAACUGUUAGGCUUCCGGGGAAUACUGUCAGACUUGGGACCGGGAGAGGUAAGAGGUACUACAGGGGUAGGAGUGAAAUCUUGUAAUCCCUGUGGGACCACCAGUGGCGAAGGCGUCUUACCAGAACGGGUCCGACGGUGAGGGACGAAAGCUGGGGGCACGAACCGGAUUAGAUACCCGGGUAGUCCCAGCCGUAAACGAUGUUCGCUAGGUGUCAGGGGCGGUGCGACCGCUUCUGGUGCCGUAGGGAAGCCGUGAAGCGAACCACCUGGGAAGUACGGCCGCAAGGCUGAAACUUAAAGGAAUUGGCGGGGGAGCACUACAACGG
rnacentral:rRNA from 1 species